GGGCGGCCUCCUCCUCCCCCUCACCUUCUCUCCCUCUCCCAAGGGAGGGAAGGGAGUGGAAGGGAUCCGACGGCAAGGGGAGGCAGCGCCUAGAUCCGCAGCCGCACCGGCGGGCCGCCGUCCCUCGAGGUCGUCCAUGGAUGUCCGACCCUCCCUUCAGCCAUGGACUGAGACGCCCGAAACCCUAGCUACCCGUGGAGGUCCGACGCCUCAACCUCCAAGGAAAGGACGCGCGCCGGCUGCAGGCCAUCUCCGGCGACCUCCGACCAUGGUUGCUCGGAUCUGGACCAGCUGCUGCUCCUACUGCUUCAGGUGGACGAGGACGAGCCCUCCCUCAUGGCUGCUGCGGCUGCCUACUCCCUUGGUCACCACGCCCCUCCCGUGCCUGGGGUCUCCUUUCUCUCCCGCAGCGGCCGCAGUAGGCGCGUGUGGCUAGAAGGGUUGAGGGAGCGAGGUCGGUGCCCUCAGGGCGGACGCGGCCGGAGGUCGACGACGAGCAAGGGGCACGACGGCGGCAGGUGGCUGUUGUAGCAGAACCAGCCAUCUUCCCGAUCCAGGCUGCCCAGGCAGGUUCCAGCCGGGCAUCCGCUGGCCACGCGCAUAAAUGUAUCAGGAAUGAGCCGGCCGUUCUACAGUUGCUGGAAGACCCUGACUCGGACGAGACGACAGAGUUCAUGGCGAGCGAGGCGGACUUGGCCGAGUCCAUGCUUUCCUGGUUACGGAG